UCUUACUCUCUCUAUCUCUGACUCAAUGAAUGUUGGAAUAUAAAAUAACUUGACUUUUGCACCACCGUCAUGAUCAAUUCUCUUUCUUCUCACAUGUUUCUCUCUUGUUAAUCUUCACCGGCCAAAAUUUCUUCUCGUAAUUAUUUAUCGAUGCGACGAUGCUGGUCUCCCUUUCUUUCUCAUAUCCUUCGCCCUUCACAGUUUUUAUGGGUCUUUUAUUCACUAUAGCAUCCUCACGUCUUGA
rnacentral:lncRNA from 1 species